UACGGGGGGUGCAAGCGUUGCUCGGAAUCACUGGGCGUAAAGCGUCCGCAGGCGGCUUGAUAAGUCGGGUGUGAAAGCCCGGGGCUCAACCCCGGAACUGCAUUCGAAACUGUCUCGCUUGAGUACGGAAGAGGGUCGUGGAAUUCCUGGUGUAGAGGUGAAAUUCGUAGAUAUCAGGAGGAACACCGGUGGCGAAAGCGGCGACCUGGUCCGAUACUGACGCUCAUGGACGAAAGCGUGGGGAGCAAACAGG
rnacentral:rRNA from 1 species